rnacentral:tRNA from 1 species
GCGCUCGUAGCUCAACGGAUAGAGCAACGGCCUUCUAAGCCGUAGGUUGCAGGUUCGAGUCCUGCCGGGCGCGCCA